CAUUAUUGAUAAUAAAAGGUGAAAUUGGAUUAUUAUUAAAUAAAUGAAGUAUAUUGAAGCUGAAGCUAAGAAAGUUUAAUUAUAGACUAGGAUUAGAUACCCUAUUAUUUUAAACUAUAAAUGAAAAAUGAAACUCUAGAUAAGUAGUAGAUAGGUACUUAAAAAUUAAAAAAUUUGGCGGUGAUUUAAUCUUUUCAGAGGAACUUGUUUUAUAAUCGAUAAACCACGUUUAAUCUUACUUAUUUUAGUAUAAUCAGUAUGUAUACCAUCAUUAUCAGGUGAUUUUUAAAGAAAAAAUUACUAAAAAUAAUUAGUUAAAUAAAUUAGAUCAUGGUGCAGCUUAUAAAUAAGGUAAAAUGAGUUACAAUAAAGCUUUUUAAAUGAAUUAGUAAAGUAAGAAUUUACUAUGAAGGUGGAUUUGAUUGUAAGUGUGGAUUAAUAAGCUUAUUUGAUAUUGGUGCUAAAUCAUGUACAUAUCGCCCGUCGCUUUCGC
rnacentral:rRNA from 1 species